rnacentral:rRNA from 1 species
ACGCUCGACACCUACGGGGCAGCAGUGAGGAAUAUUGGUCAAUGGGCGCUAGCCUGAACCAGCCAAGUAGCGUGAAGGAUGAAGGCUCUAUGGGUCGUAAACUUCUUUUAUAUAAGAAUAAAGUGCAGUAUGUAUACUGUUUUGUAUGUAUUAUAUGAAUAAGGAUCGGCUAACUCCGUGCCAGCACGCCGGUACGGUUAAUCUGGAGGCGGGCGUGGACGAAGGC